CCUACGGGGGGCUGCAGUGGGGAAUAUUGCACAAUGGGCGCAAGCCUGAUGCAGCCAUGCCGCGUGUGUGAAGAAGGCCUUCGGGUUGUAAAGCACUUUCAGCGGGGAGGAAGGCGUUAAGGUUAAUAACCUUGUCGAUUGACGUUACCCGCAGAAGAAGCACCGGCUAACUCCGUGCCAGCAGCCGCGGUAAUACGGAGGGUGCAAGCGUUAAUCGGAAUUACUGGGCGUAAAGCGCACGCAGGCGGUCUGUCAAGUCGGAUGUGAAAUCCCCGGGCUCAACCUGGGAACUGCAUUCGAAACUGGCAGGCUAGAGUCUUGUAGAGGGGGGUAGAAUUCCAGGUGUAGCGGUGAAAUGCGUAGAGAUCUGGAGGAACACCGGUGGCGAAGGCGGCCCCCUGGACAAAGACUGACGCUCAGGUGCGAAAGCGUGGGGAGCAAACAGGAUUAGAUACCCUAGUAGUC
rnacentral:rRNA from 1 species